rnacentral:lncRNA from 1 species
UUCAUAACUUCAGUGAAUAAAAUAAGUGUAUUAACUUUGCAAUUGUAAUUUACGCUUAGGUGGAAAACUCUGACACACAAAGAGAUGAGUGUAGCUGCAAAGAAAGGAAAUCUAAAUCUCCAGUAACUACAGGUAAAGAAACAGCACAGGAAACUUCAAAUACCAUAGAUAUGACAGAAGCAGCAAAUAUCCAGAUUGAAGUAAAAGAUGAAGAGAAAGAAAUACCUGAUCAGGAAAAAGUAAGCAGCAUGCCAGGAAUGGAAAAAAACCAAUCGCCUACUCGAGAAGGUGAAUCAGAUGAUUAUCUGAUUACUCAGGAUUUGAGAAAAGGAAACAAUCAGAGUCAGUGCUCCAAAAUAAAAGAUAUCAAGGAUGUGACCUCUGGAGAUGUAGCUGAGGUAUCCAAAGAAAUCAUUAGGAAACAUGCACCUCUUUCAAGUACUGUGGAAGAAAAAGAUGAGUUAACCAGCAAGCAGGACACUUGUGAAAAAGCAAAGCAGAGUCUGGAGUGUAAUUUAAGUUCUGUAGAGGCAAGUAGUCUUAUCCAUCUUAAUUCAUUGCCAUUUGAAAGUUUAGCGUUAAGACAAAAUUACAUUUUCUUUUACUUUGACUGCAGCAAUAAAACUACAAUAUUGAUUUCACCUCAGCCAUAAAAGAAAACAAUGAUUUGAUCACCUGGAGCAUUGUAGAGUGACUA